CGAAUGCUGACAUAAGUAACGAUAAAGCGGGUGAAAAGCCCGCUCGCCGGAAGACCAAGGGUUCCUGUCCAACGUUAAUCGGGGCAGGGUGAGUCGACCCCUAAGGCGAGGCCGAAAGGCGUAGUCGAUGGGAAACAGGUUAAUAUUCCUGUACUUGGUGUUACUGCGAAGGGGGGACGGAGAAGGCUAUGUUGGCCGGGCGACGGUUGUCCCGGUUUAAGCGUGUAGGCUGGUUUUCCAGGCAAAUCCGGAAAAUCAAGGCUGAGGCGUGAUGACGAGGCACUACGGUGCUGAAGCAACAAAUGCCCUGCUUCCAGGAAAAGCCUCUAAGCAUCAGGUAACAUCAAAUCGUACCCCAAACCGACACAGGUGGUCAGGUAGAGAAUACCAAGGCGCUUGAGAGAACUCGGGUGAAGGAACUAGGCAAAAUGGUGCCGUAACUUCGGGAGAAGGCACGCUGAUAUGUAGGUGAAGUCCCUCGCGGAUGGAGCUGAAAUCAGUCGAAGAUACCAGCUGGCUGCAACUGUUUAUUAAAAACACAGCACUGUGCAAACACGAAAGUGGACGUAUACGGUGUGACGCCUGCCCGGUGCCGGAAGGUUAAUUGAUGGGGUCAGCGCAAGCGAAGCUCUUGAUCGAAGCCCCGGUA
rnacentral:rRNA from 1 species